rnacentral:tRNA from 1 species
GCGCUCGAAGCUCAGCUGGAAAGAGUACCUGGAUACGAACCAGGCGGUCAAAGGUUCGAAUCCUCUCGAGCGCGCCA